CAAUUUUGCACUUCUAGAAAGGGGAAUCAACCUGUGGGUGGGGUCCCAGGAGGAUAGAUAGAUAAAUUCAUACAUAAAUAAAUAAAUAAUAGGGUGUGUGGGUGUGUUUGUCUGUCUGUCAGUAUGUGUGUGCAUGUGUGUGUGCAUUGAACUACUCAGUCCAGUUCAGUCCAGUCCCAGCUGGUUGUGUAUUAAAAACAUUUCUAGUAGAAUAUCACACAUUCAGCAUGAAUGGUGCUGGGGC
rnacentral:lncRNA from 1 species